rfam:Candidatus Woesebacteria bacterium RBG_13_46_13 RBG_13_scaffold_2, whole genome shotgun sequence.
GCAGAUGUGGCGGAAUGGCAGACGCGUACGGUUCAGGGCCGUAUGGACUUUAAACGUCCGUAGAGGUUCAAGUCCUCUCAUCUGCA